AAUGUGCUAGGAAAACCCGUUGGCAUGUAUGGAUUAACUGGCAGACCAUGUGUGCAUGUGUGUUUAUUCCUUAUAAAUAUUUAUCUCCAUGUGAUUAGAUGUUGCUUUUUACUGAUUAACAUCGGUGUUGAGCAUUUUUUCUGUAUGGCCUUUCAUCUACUGUGAAAUAAUUUUCAGCCAUUUUCUCAUUAAUUAAUUAAUUAAUUUUUAAGUCAGGGUCUUGCACUAUCACCCAGGUUGGAGUGCAGUUCUGGGAUCAUGGCUCACCACAGCCUCAGAUUCCUGGGCUCAAACAAUCCUCCUGCCUUCGUCUCCUAUGUAGCUGGAACUACAGGCAUGCGCCACCACAUCUUGCUAUUUUUUUUUUUUUUUUUUUUUGUAUUUUUUAUAGAGACAAGGUCUCACCAUGUUUCCCAGGCUGGUCUCAAACUCCUGGGCUUAAGUGAUCCACCUGUCUUGGCCUUCCAAAGUGCUGGGAUUAUAGGCAUGAG
rnacentral:lncRNA from 10 species